rnacentral:ncRNA from 1 species
UAAUCGGCUAUGAUGGAGCUAGUAAAAAUCCGUUAACCUGACAGAGAGUGGGAUUCGUCGGCUGUGAGAUCCCUCAGGUUAUAGAUUUUGAAACCCACUCCGGAGCUGUUCGGGAUUUUAACCGAACCGGUGGCCCCCGAUACAGGGCGCAAAGUGAAUGCAUAGUUUUCUAUGCAUUAAUAAAGGUGGUACCACGAAAGUUUCCCUUUCGUCCUUUGG